UACGUAGGGCGCAAGCGUUGUCCGGAAUUAUUGGGCGUAAAGAGCUCGUAGGCGGUCUGUUACGUCCGCUGUGAAAACCCAGGGCUUAACCCUGGGCUUGCAGUGGAUACGGGUAGACUAGAGGCAGGUAGGGGAGAAUGGAAUUCCCGGUGUAGCGGUGAAAUGCGCAGAUAUCGGGAGGAACACCGGUGGCGAAGGCGGUUCUCUGGGCCGAAACUGACGCUGAGGAGCGAAAGCGUGGGGAGCAAACAGG
rnacentral:rRNA from 1 species